CAGAUCGGAAGCGAGAAUGUUGACAUGAGUAGCGACAAAUAGGGUGAGAAACCCUGUCGCCGAAAGUCCAAGGGUUCCUGCUUAAAGCUAAUCUGAGCAGGGUAAGCCGGCCCCUAAGGCGAGGCCGAAAGGCGUAGUCGAUGGGAACCAGGUUAAUAUUCCUGGGCCAGUGGGAUGUGACGGAUCGCAGAUGUAGUUUGCCCUUAUCGGAUUGGGUGGGCUGCUGAGCGGUUCCUGGAAAUAGCCCCACAUCAGACCGUACCCUAAACCGACACAGGUGGACUGGUAGAGUAUACCAAGGCGCUUGAGAGAACCACGUUAAAGGAACUCGGCAAAAUGCCUCCGUAAGUUCGCGGGAAGGAGGCCCCAUAUGUGCGCAAGCAUGUGUGGGGGGCACAAACUAGGGGGUGGCGACUGUUUACUUAAAACACAGGGCUGUGCGAAGCCGUAAGGCGACGUAUACAGUCUGACGCCUGCCCGGUGCUGGAAGAUUAAGAGGAGGGGUGCAAGCUCUGAAUUGAAGUCCCAGUAAACGGCGGCCGUAACAAUAACGGUCCUAAGGUAGCGAAAUUCCUUGUCGGGUAAGUUCCGACCUGCACGAAUGGCGUAACGAUCUCCCCGCUGUCUCUAACGUGGACUCAGCGAAAUUGAACUGUCUGUCAAGAUGCAGACUACCCGCGGUUAGACGGAAAGACCCCAUGAACCUUUACUCCAGCUUUGCAUUGGCAACAGGACUGUGAUGUGCAGGAUAGGUGGUAGGCAUUGAAGCGGGGACGCCAGUCUUCGUGGAGCCUCCCUUGAGAUACCACCCUUCGCCGUCUUGUUGUCUAACCGCGACCCGUUAUCCGGGCCCGGGACCGUGCAUGGUGGGGAGUUUGACUGGGGCGGUCGCCUCCCAAAUUGUAACGGAGGCGCGCGAUGGUUGGCUCAGACCGGUCGGAAAUCGGUCGUUGAGUGCAAUGGCAGAAGCCAGCCUGACUGCAAGACUGACAAGUCGAGCAGAGACGAAAGUCGGUCAUAGUGAUCCGGUGGUCCCAAGUGGGAGGGCCAUCGCUCAACGGAUAAAAGGUACUCUGGGGAUAACAGGCUGAUGAUGCCCAAGAGUCCAUAUCGACGGCAUCGUUUGGCACCUCGAUGUCGGCUCAUCUCAUCCUGGGGCUGGAGCAGGUCCCAAGGGUACGGCUGUUCGCCGUUUAAAGAGGUACGUGAGCUGGGUUUAGAACGUCGUGAGACAGUUCGGUCCCUAUCUGCCGUGGGUGCAGGAGACUUGAGAAGAGUUGACCCUAGUACGAGAGGACCGGGUUGAACGAACCACUGGUGGACCAGUUAUCGUGCCAACGGUAGUGCUGGGUAGCUAUGUUCGGACAGGAUAACCGCUGAAGGCAUCUAAGCGGGAAGCCCCCUUCAAAACAAGGUCUCCCUUGAGGGCCGUGGAAGACGACCACGUCGAUAGGCCAGAGGUGUAAGCGCAGCAAUGCGUUCAGCUGACUGGUACUAAUUGCUC
rnacentral:rRNA from 1 species